rnacentral:rRNA from 1 species
GACGAACGCUGGCGGCGUGCUUAACACAUGCAAGUCGAACGGUGAUGCUCCAGCUUGCUGGAGUGGAUCAGUGGCGAACGGGUGAGUAACACGUGAGCAACCUGCCCCAGACUCUGGAAUAAGCGCUGGAAACGGCGUCUAAUACUGGAUACGAAACUGGCCCGCAUGGGCAUGGUUUGGAAAGUUUUUCGGUUUGGGAUGGGCUCGCGGCCUAUCAGCUUGUUGGUGAGGUAAUGGCUCACCAAGGCGACGACGGGUAGCCGGCCUGAGAGGGCGACCGGCCACACUGGGACGGAGACACGGCCCAGACUCCUACGGGAGGCAGCAGUGGGGAAUAUUGCACAAUGGGCGGAAGCCUGAUGCAGCGACGCCGCGUGAGGGAUGACGGCCUUCGGGUUGUAAACCUCUUUCAGCAGGGACGAAGCGAAAGUGACGGUACCUGCAGAAGAAGCACCGGCUAACUACGUG